rnacentral:lncRNA from 1 species
GACAAUAGAACACAUGACACGAUGGAGUUGCCCCCGAAACGCUCGAUACUAUGCCCAUUUUUUAUCACAAUCACGUUUUCAAUCGCAAUGGCGUUCCCAUCACUAACUCUACUUCAAGCGCACAAGGAGGAAUGCUACCGCAUUUGGCCUUUUAUAUUGACAUCAAGACUAACACCUUGUUACUACUCAUGUUCUACGUCUAUUGGGAGUGCAGGCACGCUCACGUUGCAGCGUCGUGAAUUGGAUGGCACUAAAUGCUGGGCACCGACGCCAGGAAUCUGUCUCCAUGGAAAAUGUUACAUCAACGCAGCUUCUGAAAGUGAUAAGAUGGUCCAUCAACGUGAACUGCGAGAUUCUGUUCACCUUCGCCGCAUCAAACGGAGUCUAUCUC